rnacentral:rRNA from 1 species
UUGAACGCUGGCGGCAUGCCUUACACAUGCAAGUCGAACGGCAGCACGGGUGCUUGCACCUGGUGGCGAGUGGCGAACGGGUGAGUAAUACAUCGGAACAUGUCCUGUAGUGGGGGAUAGCCCGGCGAAAGCCGGAUUAAUACCGCAUACGAUCUACGGAUGAAAGCGGGGGACCUUCGGGCCUCGCGCUAUAGGGUUGGCCGAUGGCUGAUUAGCUAGUUGGUGGGGUAAAGGCCUACCAAGGCGACGAUCAGUAGCUGGUCUGAGAGGGCGACCAGCCACACUGGGACUGAGACACGGCCCAGACUCCUACGGGAGGCAGCAGUGGGGAAUUUUGGACAAUGGGCGAAAGCCUGAUCCAGCAAUGCCGCGUGUGUGAAGAAGGCCUUCGGGUUGUAAAGCACUUUUGUCCGGAAAGAAAUCCUUGGCCCUAAUACGGUCGGGGGAUGACGGUACCGGAAGAAUAAGCACCGGCUAACUACGUG